GACGUAGGGGGCAAGCGUUGUCCGGAAUUACUGGGCGUAAAGGGCGUGUAGGCGGUACGUUACGUAGCGGUUUUAAGCCUCCGGCUCACCCGGAGGAGGGCGGCUAAACGGACGCACUGGAGGGCAGGAGAGGUGCACGGAAUUCCUGGUGGAGCGGUGAAAUGCGUAGAGAUCAGGAAGAACACCCGUGGCGAAGGCGGUGCACUGGCCUGUGCCUGACGCUGAGGCGCGAUAGCGUGGGGAGCAAACGGG
rnacentral:rRNA from 1 species